UACGUAGGCGGAAAAUUAAGUCAGUAGUGAAAUCCUGCAGCUUAACUGUAGAACUGUUAUUGAUACUGGUUUUCUUGAAUAUAGUUGAGGUAGGCGGAAUGUGUAAUGUAGCGGUGAAAUGCUUGGAUAUUACACAGAACACCGAUUGCGAAGGCAGCUUACUAAGCUAUGAUUGACGCUGAGGUAUGAAAGCGUGGGGAGCGAACAGGAUUAGAUACCCUGGUAGUCC
rnacentral:rRNA from 1 species